GUGCAGGCAGGCGAGAAUACUUUACAAUGCGGGAAACCGUGAUAAGGGAACCUCGAGUGCUGGCGCAUAGCGUCGGCUGUCCAGAUGCCUAAAAGCAUCUGAUAGCAAGGGCCGGGCAAGACCGGUGCCAGCCGCCGCGGUAACACCGGCGGCUCGAGUGGUGGCCACGUUUAUUGGGUCUAAAGCGUCCGUAGCCGGCUCGGCAAGUCCCCUGGGAAAUCUGGCGGCUCAACCGGUCAGGCGUCCAGAGGAUAACUG
rnacentral:rRNA from 1 species